GAUAAACCCAAGCCAGUUUUAAGUGUUUCUCCACAGCAGUGGUUGACUGAAGGAGAUUCAGUGACUCUGAGGUGUGAAGUUAUAAAUUCAUCUACAGGCUGGACAUUCAGCUGGUUCACUGUACAGAGUCACUCCCCAGAUGGUUACCAGUUGGUGUCAAACAGCAGUGGAGGAUCAAAAGGCAUCUACACAGUGAGUUCAGUGACUGUGAAGCACACAGGAGUUUAUAUGUGCAGAGCAGAGAGAGGAGAUCCAGUCUAUCACACAGAGUACAGUAACACAAAGCCACUGUUUGUCAAUGACCGGAGAUGAUGUGAGAGGCAGACCAUGAGGGAUACAUGUCUCCUCUUGUACGGGCAGAAGUUCUCAUAAUGACCCUGCAGAUGUUCUGACUGACUUUGGAGUGCUUUUUAGGCUGUUUUAUGCCCUCUGUUUAGAGAAGACUUACUGUAAUUCUGUAUGUUCAGUCUGUGUGAUAAGUGAAUAAGUGAAUUAAAAGCUUUUGUUUUAAUGUGACUGAAGUUAAUAAUUUGUUAACAACACCAGCAUAAAUUAUUUGAUUAAUAAUUUAAAUUUUUUUUGUAAAAAAUUCGCAAAUAAUAAAUAUUAAUUGAAGAAACACAUAAUACAUUGAGUAAAUACUUAAAUUUUAAUUGACAGAGUCUUUGCUGUAAGUUUUUAAAGAUUCAACUGAUUAAAACAUUUUAGUUGAAUGAACUAUAAAGCUAGUUGAGCAAGCAUACUUUUUUAUAUUUGUCAAAUUUGGGCCAACAAAAAAACUAUAAUUCAGGUAACACUUUGGAGACAGAAAUUGAGUGAACGUAAAAUUUCUGUUAGUCUGAAGUAGUGGAUUCCUGAUAUCUGGCUCCUUUUCAUUUCUGUAUAUAAUUUUCAAUGAUUUUGAAAUCAGAUACUUAUUAAUAUUUAUUGUCCCAGAAAUUAAAGUGAUUUGAAUAAAUUCUUUACGCUUAUAAAGUAAUGUUAUUUAUAUAAUGUAUA